UGCCUGUGAGGUAUUCUUUCAGUGGCUUUUGGGUUCACAAACAGGCAAAACGUCAGGCUGCUCAGGUUAUUUCAGAGGAAAGAUGAAGAACAAGAAGAUACAGAUGGAAACGAAAGGAUGCAAACCUGUCUUGGUGUUAAAAAGGAAGAAAGAAAUUGUCCUGAAGAAGGCAGAAGUCUGCUGGGAAGGCAUGAUCCCAACCCUCCACCAUCACUGAGCAGGAAGAGAGCAUGAAGAGGUUGGAGAACCUGAUAAUUGAUCUCCAGAAGAUGAUCUGUGAGAGGGAUGAACUUCAGUCCUAACCCAUUACACC
rnacentral:lncRNA from 1 species